rnacentral:rRNA from 1 species
UGGGGAGCAAACAGGAUUAGAUACCCUGGUAGUCCACGCCGUAAACGAUGAGUGCUAAGUGUUGGAGGGUUUCCGCCCUUCAGUGCUGCAGCUAACGCAUUAAGCACUCCGCCUGGGGAGUACGGCCGCAAGGCUGAAACUCAAAGGAAUUGACGGGGACCAGCACAAGCGGUGGAGCAUGUGGUUUAAUUCGAAGUAACGCGAAGAACCUUACCAGGUCUUGACAUCCUUUGACCACUCUAGAGAUAGAGCUUUCCCUUCGGGGUCAAAGUGACAGGUGAAUCAUGGUUGUCGUCAGCUCGUGUCGUGAGAUGUUGGGUUAAGUCCCGCAACGAGCGCAACCCUUAUUACUAGUUGCCAGCAUUUAGUUGGGCACUCUAGUGAGACUGCCGGUGACAAACCGGAGGAAGGUGGGGAUGACGUCAAAUCAUCAUGCCCCUUAUGACCUGGGCUACACACGUGCUACAAUGGAUGGUACAACGAGUCGCAAGGUCGCGAGGCCAAGCUAAUCUCUUAAAGCCAUUCUCAGUUCGGAUUGUAGGCUGCAACUCGCCUACAUGAAGCCGGAAUCGCUAGUAAUCGCGGAUCAGAACGCCGCGGUGAAUACGUUCCCGGGUCUUGUACACACCGCCCGUCACACCACGAGAGUUUGUAACACCCGAAGCCGGUGAGGUAACCUUUUA